rnacentral:lncRNA from 13 species
GCCAGCGCAUGCCGGGAAGUUCCCAUGCCACACACACACACAAACACCCCCGCAAUGGGAAGCGACCAGAGCAGCAGUCUGCUCGCCACGUGCAGGCCUCAGACCGGAAGUCCACGUGCCAGAACCGGGACCAGGAGCCAGAGGGGUCCCAGCGCAUAAUUUGUGGAGGCUUCAUCCACCGGGCUCCCAGAUGGCGUCUCAGCCCAGGUCCGGACACAAAGAUACUGGCGACCUCGGUCUGGGCUUUGUGUUCCAUGAGCUUCAGGAAGACAACGAUGUAAAGGCUAUAGAGACCUCGGUGACUGAAGCGGUAGGAGACAAUGAGAAGAAAAUACGGCCUGAACCGGAGCAGGGAGCGGGGGCAGAAGAAGAAAGUCACGUCUGCCCUGGAGAGGCUGACCCCAUGUUCACCAAGAACCUGAUGAAGGCCUGCGGUGGCCACCAGGAGUCCUGGCAGCCACAGCCUGAGGAGUCGGCCCAGGACUCCUCCUCCUCUGAGCCGCAGCCCCAAGAUCAGCAGCAUCCCUUUGUCCCUGUUGGAUUCAGUGGGUUGCAGCUGAAGGAGCUAGAGAGCAUUUUCCGGCGCUCUCAAUAUCCCGACGUGUUCCCUAGAAAGCAGCUGGCAAUAUGCAUGGAUGUGAGUGAAGCCAAAGUGGAAGCCAGUAAGCCUGAUGAAAGCAAUUGAUCAGAGUAGCCACUCUGACACCUGCUUCAGUCCUUGGAUACCUUUGUCUUACACAUUCUCCAGUUGGCCUGUUUUUGUUGCCUUUUCUAUGUUUGCAAAGUGAGUUCUGAGCUUUAGAGGGUGAAAAAUGGGAUAGGGAAACCCCAGCUUAUGGAAAUUUCCCAUUACUGGAGGGAAUGUGCUUUCUAAUAGAAAAAUAAAACAUACCAAACUGCUACUUCUAUUUCCUGU